ACUCCUACGGAAGGCAGCAGUGGGGAAUAUUGCGCAAUGGGCGAAAGCCUGACGCAGCGACGCCGCGUGAGGGAUGACGGCCUUCGGGUUGUAAACCUCUUUCAGCAGGGACGAAAAUGACGGUACCUGCAGAAGAAGCACCGGCUAACUACGUGCCAGCAGCCGCGGUAAU
rnacentral:rRNA from 1 species